AAGGAUUAGAGAUAAAUUUCUCUAGCCACGUGAGGAAUGAAAUAGGGCACUUUUUUUUUAAAUAUCAGGGAGGUUCCAUAUGGUCAAGCACAGCCAGAGUGGUGGACAUCCUGACAGGGCAGUUCAGAGAGCAGCAGCUCCGGAAGAAAUGGGCCAAAGUCCAUAGAGAGAGGGAGCAGAAAAGAGGACAGAGUCACACUCCUGAACAACCAGAACAGUUUUCCAGUGUCCUCAUCUGCAGAAAUACCAGAUGAUCCAAAACAGAUUCUUUUUUUUUUUUUUUUUUUUCUGAGACAGAGUCUCACUUUGUUGCCAAGGCUGGAGAUCAAUGGCAUGCAAUUUUGGUUUACUGCCACCUCUGACUCCUGGGUUCAAGCGAUUUUCCUGCCUCAGCCUCCUGAGUAGCUGGGAUUACAGGAUGAAGGCGCGGAGACGGGAAACUCCUGCCUUUUAAACCACGCCCCUCACAGACCCUGGAAGAGCAGUCCCUCAGUUUUACCACGUGGACCAAUCUGGUCUCCAACUCCCGACCUCAAGUGAUCCACCAGCCUCGGCCUCCCAAAAUGCUGGGAUUACAGAAACGAGCCACUGCGCCUAGCUGAGUCGGGGUUUUGCAAUGUUGUCCAGGCUGAUCUUGAACUCCUGGGCUCAAGUGAUCCUUCUACGUCAGCCUCUGAAAAUGCUGGGAUUACAGACAUGGGCCACUGAGCCCAACCCCUGGAUGGGAGAUCUGGGACAAGACAAAGACUUUGCUAAGGCAAUGCUGUUCAUAGUGGUGGAUCUAAGCUGCACUACAAGUCUUCCAGAUUCUACCUGAUUGACCUAGAAACCUCGAACACAAACCAAGUCCCUAUGCAACAAUGUUCUGGGCCGGGCGUGGCUCAUGCCUGUAAUCCCAGCACUUUGGGAGGCCGAGGCAGGUGAAUCACGAGGUCAAGAGAUCGAGACCAUCCUGGUCAACAUGGUGAAACCCCGUCUCUACUAAAAAUACAAAAAAUUAGCUGGGCACGAUGGUGCGUGCCUGUAAUCCCAGCUACUCAGGAGGCUGAGGCAGGAGAAUUGCCUGAACUCAGGAGGCAGAGGUUGCGGUGAGCCAAGAUCACGCCAUUGCACUCCAGUCUGGGUAACAAGAGCGAAACUCCACCUCAAAAAAAAAAAACAAUGUUCUGAUUUAUGUGUUGAAGGAAUAAAUGUACAUAUGCCUCUGGUGCUGAGAGGCAGCAUAAUAGUGGUUAAGAACCUUAGCUUAAGAGGUAAACAGACCAGGAUGGGCGUGGUGGCUCAUGCCUGUAAUCCAAGCACUUUGGGAGGCCAAGGCAGGCAGAUCACUUGAGUUCAGGAGUUUGAGACCAGCCUGGCCAACAUGGUGAAACUCCGUAUCUACUAAAAAUACAAAAAUUAGUUGUGUAUGAUGGUCUGUGCCUAUAUUCCCAGCUACUUGGGAGGCUGAGGCAGGAGAAUUGCUUGAAUUUGGGAGGUGGAGGCUACAACGAGCCAAGAUCACAGCACUGCAAUCCAGCCUGGAAGGCAAAGCAAGACUCCAUCUCCAAAAAAAAAAAAAAAGAGAGAGAGAGAUAAAAAGACCUGCUUCUGUUAUUUACCAUCUGUGGGAUUUGAGGCAAAUUGCUUCAUCGUUCUAAUUUUUGUAUUUGUUUCUUAAUUUGUGAAAUUAAUUAAGAUAGAACUUAUAAGCCUCUCUGAAACUUGAACUGGAUUAAUAUAUGUGACAUGCUUAGCACCAUUUGUGGCACUGGUAGGUUUUUUACUAAUUGUCACUAUUAUUCUCUAACCCUACUCAGGUUUGGGAACCUAAGAAUCAAAAGAUCUUGCAUUGCCACAGUGGGUUACUAGCAAGUUCAAAUAUGUAAUAUUUCCAUUUGGUCGAAAAUCCAUUCCUUUCAAAAACAACCAUGUAAACUCAGUAAAAUGAAUAAAAAGGCAAAUUGUGUUCAUUGAAGACUGCCUUGUGCCUUGAGUUUUCUGCAGUGUGUGGGAGACAAUUUAGUGGUUGGUUUUCUUGUCGUUAAUGCAGGAGAGAUGGUUCUUGUGACUUUCUGUCCUUUUCACUGUGGUAGCUCAGCUGCGAGGGAAUGGUAGCCUGUGGUGGUGAUAUUGCAUUGAUGAUGCCCACCAGCUUCUCUCCCUAUAGUUCUGAGUGUCUGUUUUGUAUUUAGAUCAGUGGGUAGAAGGUCUCACUGCUCUACAGAAUGACAUACACAUUGCCAGUAAUUACUUUCCUAAAAUGGAAAGGGAAUUAAAAUAAAAGCCUGAAUGUAGAAGGGGGUGGCAGGUUUUUGGAAAAGUGUAUUGGCAAUUUGAAGCAUGAAUAAUUAAUUUUGUCUUAAGAUUAAGUUCAGG
rnacentral:lncRNA from 1 species